GAUAUUUUAUAAAAUACCCGUAUAGAAACGGACGGGUAUGGGUAUUACCCACGGCUACUAAAAUUUAUCCAAUACCCAAAUCCUAUUCACUUACCCGUCUCUAGUUCAACCCAGCAAUCUCACCGGAGAUCGGCUACUCCGACAUCUAGGACGUGGUGGAUUUCAUCGGCGGAGACGAGGCGGAGUUCGUCUUUCUGUGAAUUUCAGGCGUCGUCAGAGCUAACUUGGUCUCCAUCUCAAAACCUUCAGAACCGAUUUCCGGCGUCAACUUCAAUUUCCGCCAUUGUUUCUCCUCUCUCGCAGUCUGGUUGAUUUCUAGGGUUCUAUUCCAUCUUGGCUCUCACCAGCUUGAACUCGUACUCAAGUUUCUCUAAGUAUGGAAGAUAUGUCAUAUAGUUGUGCUAAUAAUGACAUAAUGGAUGAGGAUGUGGAACAAAGUGUUCCACGCAAAAGAAAGAGGAAAGCAGCAGUAUGGGGGAAGAGAAAGCAAUUUGUAAGCAUUGCGGCGAGAUCCUAAGUGCAAAGUCUACAAAUGGAACUAAUUCCUUGAAUUUACAUGUUAAAUCAUGUAAAGGACUAAAGCCUCAAUUAACAAGGAGCGAGGGGACAGUCAGAUUUGGUCAUUUUGAUGAGAGUAAUGCAAAGACUGAGCUUGCCAAUAUGAUCAUCUUGCAUGAGUACAAUUGUCGAUGCAAAGACUGCGUUCACUUAUUUAUAGUCAUUUUCAUUAUCUAA